rnacentral:rRNA from 1 species
UACAGAGGGUGCAAGCGUUAAUCGGAAUUACUGGGCGUAAAGCGCGCGUAGGUGGUUUGUUAAGUUGGAUGUGAAAUCCCCGGGCUCAACCUGGGAACUGCAUCCAAAACUGGCAAGCUAGAGUAUGGUAGAGGGUGGUGGAAUUUCCUGUGUAGCGGUGAAAUGCGUAGAUAUAGAAAGGAACACCAGUGGCGAAGGCGACCACCUGGACUGAUACUGACACUGAGGUGCGAAAGCGUGGGGAGCAAACAGG